AUGCAACCGGGAAUGUGCCGCCCCGAGGGGUCCCCGGAGCGCGAGGGACGACCCGCGGCGUGCAGCCGGCGGAUGAUGGCGACGGGAGCGGGGACGUCUCCGGCUGGGAGUCGGUGUGUGCUCCUCUUCCUCCUGCUCCUCGGCAGCUGCUGCCACAUGUUGCACGGCCAAGUGCGUGAAGACCGGUUUAGCAGCGGCAGCUCAGCAUCAUCAUCUGACGGGGCUCCAAGGCGCCGGCUGUUUUUAUUAGGGGAUUCAAAAGUGCGUGAUCGGCAUCGUUUAGUUAAUGAGGUCUGAUAACAGGUCGCCUGGCGCUCAUAGCUCCUUUCUGGAGAUUGGAUGAUUAGUUGAUACUUGUAAAAGUUGCUUCACAAACAAGCUGCUUUGCUUCAACUUCUUGGAUUUUGUGUCCAAUAAACAAUUUAAAGAUAUCCA
rnacentral:lncRNA from 1 species